CCCCUGGUAAAUUACUGAAAAAAGAUUGAUCUGUUUGAAAUAUAUACAUGAGAUUUAGACAUACAAUUCGUGGGUUAAAUUAACCACGUUAUUGUAUAGUUAGCAAAUUACAUAAUCAUCACAUAAAUUGGCAUGUUUAACACGGUAAGCCUAACAAAAGGAGAAGGUAAAAUUACAAAAAAAAAGUCAAACAGAAAAGGCGGUACAUACUAAACAUCCCGCAUCUUCAUUCCUAAUCCAUUCAAAUAGCAACAUUGUAAAUUAUCCUCCUGAUCUCAACACUAAAGUACUUCAAGUCAUGAUUAUCAUCCACAACAUCAUAUUGUUCAAGUGACAUUAUGAUAAAAGGUAAAUGAAGUGUUCGAAUACUCAAAUAAAAGGUUCAACUAACAAUGCAAUCUUGGCUAAGAGGUUUCACCAUGUCAUAUCAUCUUCCAGACUAGAGCUUUGCCAUUCAUACAGACUUCCAGAACAGCUUCAGAAUCGUAUCCUUCCAUCUAAAAUUGAAAGAAAAAAGUGAUAAAUGUCAAUAACUCAAUUAAGCCACGUUUGGACAGAAUUUAUAAACUGUUUAUAAUCUAUUAAAAGAUAGAAAUGAGUGGUGAAUAAAAGGAUAUUAAUUGUGGUUGAAAAUAAAGUUAGACCAUUUAUAAUGAUAUAUUAAUUUUGACAAAAAAAAGGCUAAAUGUAAAGUAGUAACAAAUUACCACUUCUCCCUUGAAAUAUAGUGGUUCUAAAAGUAGCGUACUUCAUAUUAUGUAAAUCUUCUCAAUAGCUUUUGCCUUUUUCCUGGUGGUGGGGUGAAGGAAUAAUAAACAAAAGAUUCCCAAAUCAAAAUCACGCUGAAAUUAAGUGGCAUUAAUAGAAGAAAUUGUGCUUCAGUCACACCACACAUUGUUAAUUUUGAAAUCAUGUCAUUCCAUCCUAGUUUAAACUGAAGCCAGAUCUUAUCCUUUCCCUUGGGUAUCUUCGGUUCAAUGAAAGAGGAUGCCAAGAGAGAGGGAAAAGGAAUGGAGAUGUAUACUCCACAAGUGAAAAGUAAGGAAGUAAUUUGCCAGUAACUUGUCCUUUGUAUUUUCAUACCUUCUUCCAGCUACACCAUGCUCAAACACACUUUUACUGGUGUAUUAUUCCACUGCCUUGUUUGUUGAAAGAAAAGAGUUGGCGUAGGGGAACGGAAGGGAAGGAGAAGAGAAAUUGAGGACGAGUUUAACAUUUUUAUUUAACCUUCUGUCAUACCCUGGUUUCCAACUAUAUAUACUAAUUGAGGUUAAUUUAGCCUUUGUUUGGCCCCCACUUUCUAAAACUCAUUUUUCCUCAGCUCAUUUUCAACCACACAUUUCAUAGGAUCCACAACUUUUUUUCAACUUUUCAACCACAUAUUUCAUCUACUUUUAUCAAAAUCUAUUAAAAAUCAGACCUUUAGCUAAACCAAAUAGGGGCUUAGUAUUAUUUAGUCCAACCACUUCAAUUUGGAAGCUCCACUUCUCUGUCACUCCCUCUUCUAUUACUUACCAGACAAACUAUAUGUGGUUCACUUUCACUUCCCUUCCUAAUACUAGUCCAACCAAACAUGCCGCUCUCAAGGCCUUUGCACUGGAGGAGGGGACACCUAUGGACUGAAAUGUAAGGGUGUUUGACAGGGAUUAAAAUUAAAUUUUUUAGUAGAUUGUGAUAUAAGUUUUUGAAAUGUGUGGUUGAAAAGUUGUGGGAUCCUUGAAAGAUGUGGUUAAUAUUGAUUGUUUAACGUUGACUUAGAUUAAAAUAAGAUUUUAAUCCGUACCAAAC
rnacentral:lncRNA from 1 species